UGAUGUCGUUGAGGCGAGAAAAGACGUUUUUUGGUGUGCCGCGUGAAAGAGCACGGAACAGGCAGUUUCGCUGUGUUCCGUGUGAAACACACCGGCGAGUCAUUCACCUAUUUUGCACACACUAGUUGACAUGAAAUUAUGGAUUCUGCAGGAUAUUGCCAUGUUACUUGCGCACAGUCGAGACAAGGUCUUUCUUUGCUGGGUUCUGUGUGAAAGACAAGAUUGCUGGACGCAGUGCUGCAGUGCAUGCGCUGCAACAUGGCAAUAUUCGACUUUUACUUGGUUCUGUGUGAAAGGCGAACAACAUUUCCAUUGUUCCGUCUCUUUGGUGGGCCAAUUUGAAGGAUUCCAAGUACAUUGUUUUACACACAUAACAGACAAACUUGCGCACAGAUGGCAAGAUCCUCCUAUCCAUCCUGACACACUUCACGGUCUUUGGCACCUUCCAUCUAACCUCCCUGAGUGCGUGCAGGGCCAGGCCGCGGUCACACUGAGGCCUUUGGGACGGACUGAAGAGCAUCUCUGCGAGGUGGUAUGUGUGAAACUAUUUUUGUCUUGAAAAACAACAACAACA